rnacentral:rRNA from 1 species
UGGUGGAGUGAUUUGUCUGGUUAAUUCCGAUAACGAACGAGACCUUUACCUGCUAAAUAGGAACUUGCGACACAUUAGGACGGAUUAAUACGAAUCAUUAUUAAGCGUCGCCUUUAUUGUUGUGGCGUGUACAUAUCGACACCGGUUAUCCGUUCGUCCUCGUCCUACUUCUUAGAGGAACAGCCGGUGUUGCAACCGGAGGAAGUUUAAGGCAAUAACA